UACAGAGGUCUCAAGCGUUGUUCGGAUUCAUUGGGCGUAAAGGGUGCGUAGGUGGCGCCGUAAGUCAGGUGUGAAAUUUCGGAGCUUAACUCCGAAACUGCAUUUGAUACUGCGGUGCUUGAGGACUGGAGAGGAGACUGGAAUUUACGGUGUAGCAGUGAAAUGCGUAGAGAUCGUAAGGAAGACCAGUGGCGAAGGCGGCCAACUGGACAGAUACUGACGCUGAGACACGAAAGCGUGGGGAGCAAACAGG
rnacentral:rRNA from 1 species